GACGAGGUGGCCGAGUGGUUAAGGCGUUGGACUGCUAAUCUAAUGGGGUCUCCCCGCGUGAGUUCGAAUCUCAUCCUCGUCG
rnacentral:tRNA from 1 species